rnacentral:lncRNA from 1 species
GCGCCAUGGCGCUGUCCUGGCUGCAGCGCGUCGAGCUUGCGCUCUUUGCUGCCGCCUUCCUGUGCGGGGCCGUGGCGGCCGCGGCGAUGACUCGGACCCAGAGGUGCUAUAGGGCUGCGCAUUGCACUGGCCAUCUCAGCUAUAGCCGUCUUCCUGGUCUUGGUGUCUGCCUGUAUCCUUCGAUUUGGCACCAGGUCUCUCUGCAACUCCAUCAUCUCCUUGAACACUACAAUUAGCUGUUCUGAAGCCCAGAAAAUUCCAUGGACACCCCCUGGAACUGCUCUGCAGUUUUACUCCAACCUACACAAUGCUGAAACCUCUUCUUGGGUGAAUUUGGUAUUGUGGUGUGUGGUCUUGGUGCUCCAGGUCGUGCAGUGGAAGUCUGAAGCCACCCCAUACCGGCCUCUGGAGAGGGGUGACCCUGAGUGGAGCUCUGAGACAGAUGCUCUCGUUGGGUCACGCCUUUCCCAUUCCUGAAGAAUAAGCGGAGUGCUUCCUGCAGCCGAAGACUCCAUGCCCAAGUGCCUGUAAUCCCCCCCC